rnacentral:rRNA from 1 species
GAAUGAUACGUAUGCCGAACUGAGAGGUUGAUCGGCCACAUUGGGACUGAGACACGGCCCAAACUCCUACGGGAGGCAGCAGUAGGGAAUCUUCCACAAUGGACGCAAGUCUGAUGGAGCAACGCCGCGUGAGUGAAGAAGGCUUUCGGGUCGUAAAACUCUGUUGUUGGAGAAGAAUGGUCGGCAGAGUAACUGUUGUCGGCGUGACGGUAUCCAACCAGAAAGCCACGGCUAACUACGUGCCAGCAGCCGCGGUAAUACGUAGGUGGCAAGCGUUAUCCGGAUUUAUUGGGCGUAAAGCGAGCGCAGGCGGUUUUUUAAGUCUGAUGUGAAAGCCCUCGGCUUAACCGAGGAAGCGCAUCGGAAACUGGGAAACUUGAGUGCAGAAGAGGACAGUGGAACUCCAUGUGUAGCGGUGAAAUGCGUAGAUAUAUGGAAGAACACCAGUGGCGAAGGCGGCUGUCUGGUCUGUAACUGACGCUGAGGCUCGAAAGCAUGGGUAGCGAACAGGAUUAGAUACCCUGGUAGUCCAUGCCGUAAACGAUGAAUGCUAGGUGUUGGAGGGUUUCCGCCCUUCAGUGCCGCAGCUAACGCAUUAAGCAUUCCGCCUGGGGAGUACGACCGCAAGGUUGAAACUCAAAGGAAUUGACGGGGGCCCGCACAAGCGGUGGAGCAUGUGGUUUAAUUCGAAGCAACGCGAAGAACCUUACCAGGUCUUGACAUCUUUUGAUCACCUGAGAGAUCAGGUUUCCCCUUCGGGGGCAAAAUGACAGGUGGUGCAUGGUUGUCGUCAGCUCGUGUCGUGAGAUGUUGGGUUAAGUCCCGCAACGAGCGCAACCCUUAUGACUAGUUGCCAGCAUUUAGUUGGGCACUCUAGUAAGACUGCCGGUGACAAACCGGAGGAAGGUGGGGAUGACGUCAAAUCAUCAUGCCCCUUAUGACCUGGGCUACACACGUGCUACAAUGGAUGGUACAACGAGUUGCGAGACCGCGAGGUCAAGCUAAUCUCUUAAAGCCAUUCUCAGUUCGGACUGUAGGCUGCAACUCGCCUACACGAAGUCGGACAUCGCCU